rnacentral:rRNA from 1 species
GUGGGGAAUAUUGGACAAUGGGCGCAAGCCUGAUCCAACCAUGCCGCGUGAGUGAUGAAGGCCUUAGGGUUGUAAAGCUCUUUCGUCAGGGAAGAUAAUGACGGUACCUGAAGAAGAAGCCCCGGCUAACUUCGUGCCAGCAGCCGCGGUAAUACGAAGGGGGCUAGCGUUGCUCGGAAUCACUGGGCGUAAAGCGCACGUAGGUGGAUUUCUAAGUCAGGGGUGAAAUCCUGGAGCUCAACUCCAGAACUGCCUUUGAUACUGGAGAGCUUGAGUUCGGGAGAGGUGAGUGGAACUGCGAGUGUAGAGGUGAAAUUCGUAGAUAUUCGCAAGAACACCAGUGGCGAAGGCGGCUCACUGGCCCGAUACUGACGCUGAGGUGCGAAAGCGUGGGGAGCAAACAGGAUUAGAAACCCGGGUAGUCC